AGUGAACGCUGGCGGUAGGCCUAACACAUGCAAGUCGAACGGCAGCACAGUAAGAGCUUGCUCUUACGGGUGUCGAGUGGCGGACGGGUGAGGAAUACAUCGGAUUCUACUUUUUCGUGGGGGAUUACGUAGGGCAACUUACGCUAAUACCGCAUACUACCUACGGGUGAAAGCAGGGGAUCUUCGGACCUUGCGCGAUUGAAUGAGCCGAUGUCGGAUUAGCUAGUUGGCGGGGUAAAGGCCCACCAAGGCGACGAUCCGUAGCUGAUCUGAGAGGGUGAUCAGCCACACUGGAACUGAGACACGGUCCAGACUCCUACGGGAGGCAGCAGUGGGGAAUAUUGGACAAUGGGCGCAAGCCUGAUCCAGCCAUACCGCGUGAGUGAAGAAGGCCUUCGGGUUGUAAAGCCCUUUUGUUGGGAAAGAAAAGCAGCAGGUUAAUACCCCGCUGUUCUGACGGUACCCAAAGAAUAAGCACCGGCUAACUUCGUG
rnacentral:rRNA from 1 species